CAAGACCCAAGGAAGCCUCUCUAGCUUUACCUCUACUCUCUUUUAUGCUGUUAUAUGUGUGUGUGUGUGUGUGUGUGUGUGUGUGUGUGUGUGUGUGUGUGUGUGUGUGUGUGUGUGUAUGUGACUUCUCCAGAAGGCCCCUCACGAUGACAUGUCUGCCCCACGACACUUUGUUUAGGUUCGUCUUGACCCUGGCAGAGAUUACAUGUUCCAACAGACAGAUAGUUUGGG